GAGGGMAAGYCUGGUGCCAGCAGCCGCGGUAAUUCCAGCUCCAGUAGCGUAUAUUAAAGUUGUUGCAGUUAAAAAGCUCGUAGUUGGAUUUGUGGUGUUUUUUUUUAUUUGCUUUUUUGGUCUCUUUUCAUCGUUUUUAACUUUGAAUCUGAGACUUGGAAGCGAGGACACCAUCCUUGACAGGUUUGAAAGUGAUAUUAUAUCACCGCAAACAUUGUCAUCCUUUACUUUGAAAAAAUUGGAGUGAUUCAAGCAGGCAAGAAUUAUAAUUUUAAUUUUAAUUUAACUUUGCUUCUGCACAUGUUAGCAUGGAAUAAUGCGAGAGGACUUGGGUUUUCUCUUUCAUUGGUUUCAGGAAUCCGAGUAAUGAUUGAUAGGGACAGUUGGGGGUGCUCGUACUCGACGGCCAGAGGUGAAAUUCUUGGAUUCGUUGAAGACGAACAACUGCGAAAGCAUUCACCAAGGAUGUCUUCUUUAAUCAAGAACGAAAGUUGGGGGAUCGAAGAUGAUCAGAUACCGUCGUAGUCCCAACCAUAAACGAUGCCGACCAGGGAUCAGCGAGCGUUGACUUGGCGUUCUCCUUAUUUUCUCUCUUUUUGGGAGUAAUAUGUAGAUUUUGCCAACCUCGUUAAUUUGAAACGACCUCGUUGGCACCUUGCGAGAAAUCACCAGUCUUUGGGCUCCGGGGGGAGUAUGGUCGCAAGGCUGAAACUUAAAGGAAUUGACGGAAGGGCACAACCAGCAGUGGAGCCUGCGGCUUAAAUUGACUCAACACGGGGAAACUUACCAGGUCCAGACAUCAUAAGGAUUGACAGAUUGAAGHUCUUUCUUGAUUYKRUGG
rnacentral:rRNA from 1 species